AUGUAACAUUUAACAGUUGUCAUUUUCACUUGAAUAUUUUCAACAAGUUAGAGUAUUUUGCAAUACAAUAUCAAUAAAUACAACAGGUGCUUGUUUAUACAUGUAUGUUCUGGCAUGUCAUAAUCUUGUGGCAUUUUCUGUGUUACAUUAGGAAAACUUUCCAGAAUCAGUAUUACAAAGGAAUUGGUGUUGUAGAGUAGAUCAUUCCAAACUACAUCUUGGCAUUACUAUAUGAAAGAAGAGAGAAAGAUAUGGCAUGAAAAGAGUGUGAACAUUAUGUUUCAAUUUCAAUGUCUGUUGAAUGUUAAUGUAUGAUAUCUAUGAUUUAAAUGUUUUACAUCAUUUCAUGGGACCAUAAUAAAAUGUGUAACAU
rnacentral:misc_RNA from 1 species